rnacentral:rRNA from 1 species
GACGAACGCUGGCGGCGUGCCUAAUACAUGCAAGUAGAACGCUGAAGCUUGGUGCUUGCCCCGAGCGGAUGAGUUGCGAACGGGUGAGUAACGCGUAGGUAACCUGCCUGGUAGCGGGGGAUAACUAUUGGAAACGAUAGCUAAUACCGCAUAAGAGUAGAUGUUGCAUGACAUUUGCUUAAAAGGUGCAAUUGCAUCACUACCAGAUGGACCUGCGUUGUAUUAGCUAGUUGGUGAGGUAACGGCUCACCAAGGCAAAGAUACAUAGCCGACCUGAGAGGGUGAUCGGCCACACUGGGACUGUGACCCGGCCCAGACUCCUACGGGAGGCAGCAGUAGGGAAUCUUCGGCAAUGGACGGAAGUCUGACCGAGCAACGCCGCGGGAGUGAAGAAGGGUGUCGGAUCGUAAAGCUCUGUUGUAAGAGAAGAACGAGUGUGAGAGUGGAAAGUUCACACUGUGACGGUAGCUUACCAGAAAGGGACGGCUAACUACGUG